UACGUAGGGGGGCAGCGUUGUCCGGAUUCACUGGGUGUAAAGGGCGCGUAGGCGGCUAUAUAAGUCAGCGGUGAAAUUCUACGGCUUAACCGUAGCGCUGCCGUUGAUACUAUAUAGCUUGAGCUCAGAAGGGAGAAGCGGAAUUCCAGGUGUAGCGGUGAAAUGCGUAGAUAUCUGGAAGAACACCGGAGGCGAAGGCGGCUUCUUGGCCUGCAGCUGACGCUGAGGCGCGAAAGCGUGGGGAGCAAACAGG
rnacentral:rRNA from 1 species